rnacentral:rRNA from 1 species
GCGCACUCGUCGACGACCUUGGCGUUUAUGCCAUAAUUGGAAGGGUCGACUAUGCGGAUUGCCCUGCCGCACCGGGCCCCGCCCGCGUACCACUCCGAGGACAGUGACACCACGAACUCGUCGUCGCUGUGGUACUGGCCGUCGCACGCCGCCGGCCCGCCGCCCCCCUCUCCUUCCUGGAAGCCGUUCACCGUCAUCACGGCCGGGACGUUCUGUUGA